rnacentral:rRNA from 1 species
UACGUAGGGGGCAAGCGUUGUCCGGAUUUAUUGGGCGUAAAGAGCUCGUAGGCGGUUUGGUAAGUCUGGUGUGAAAUCUCCACGCUCAACGUGGAGGGGCCACCCGAUACUGCCAUGACUGGAGUCCGGUAGAGGAGUGUGGAAUUCCCGGUGUAGCGGUGAAAUGCGCAGAUAUCGGGAGGAACACCCGUAGCGAAGGCGGUUCUCUGGGACGGUACUGACGCUGAGACGCGAAAGCGUGGGGAGCGAACAGG